UCAUUGACCCCUGCAUUGAUAACAAACAAGGAUUCGGAUAGAUGCCUCUCCAACACUACUUGCUCCUUGAACAUCUUUGUGGAACCACCAUGUGGCUGGAAAACAAUGUAGCAAUGAAGAGGGAAGAAGAUCAAAAAGGAAAGCAUGAAGAAAGUUGUGAAAUACAUUGUCGCAAUAUCUCAUUUAUCUUCCUUCAUGUUAAGUCAUUCCUUGUCUUCGUGGGACUAGACUUGUCGGUCUAUUUUACUGGAAUUCAGGACAACUAUUAUUGGGUAUGCAUUAAACUUGGAUUUGGAUUUUCAAGGUGCAAACCUGGAGAAUAAAAGCAAGAACAACUCGAUAUUCAUGACCAUGCAUAUGAAAAAGAUCUUGUUGAGAGCGGUAAGUCGUACUUUAGUAAUCUCUAUGCCUCAAAGGGGAUUAGUCCUUAGUUAUCAGCAGAGGAAUACCUUUGGUGUACAUUUAAAAAAAUGAACAUGUUAUUCAUUAAACCACAUGUAACUAUGUAAUGACAAAUGGGAUUCACCGAUCAAAUAUUGUAAAAUAUGGUAUUUAAUUUUUUUUUCCCGA